CCACCAGACAAAAGCAGGCUUUGGCCGUAACCGGCAGUAUUCAAAUGUUGCAGGAUAUGCCUCCACAUCAUCAUCAGAUGACAUCCUUGACGUCUGCAGGGUGGACUGCACAACGGCCUCUGUGCCUGGUGUCCUUGACUGAAUUCUGGCCAGUAUUCUGCAAGCAGACUCCUCCAAGGGACCCCUGGGAGAGAUGGGAAUAAAGUACAGGAACAUCCUUGUCCACUUUGUUUUUCCUUCCAAUUUUCAAUGACUUGGGGAGGGGCCCGAUAUGGAAAGAGUAAUAUACUGUAUGUAAGGAGCG